GUUACACUAGAUCAAUAAGAAUAUCAACACCUUACCACUGAUACAGAAAAUCAAAAGUUUGUAGAAAUCGUAAAACAACCAAUGGAGUUCAUUUUUAAAAUAAAUUCGUUUAUCUGAAAAUAUAUAUUUUUUUUAACUCACCUGUAAGUUCCUAAAUGUCAUUUAUGAAGAUAAGAAUCAAAAUAGUAAUUCACACUACGCAUUCUAAAAGACUAACAACA
rnacentral:lncRNA from 1 species